rnacentral:lncRNA from 10 species
GGCUGUGGGAAGGGGCCGGACGCCUGCUCCUGGCCUCCCUUCCCCGGCGACUUCUCAGGUUCUUCUUCCUGUUCUGACACUACAGGGAAGUCCUAGACGUUGUGCUUUCCUCCCACGCUUGCUUCCAUCAAGGAUUAGAGCGCGUUCCCGCUGGUCUGGAACCAUCCAUUCCAGAUCCACUUUGAACCUUCAACUUCCUGGAAAGCUGAGCAAAGUAAAGAAGAGGAAAUGUAGUAGAGGAGCAUCCUGCUGUUUUCUGGAAGUCUGGCAAGGAGAGACGAUUGCUCAAGUAUCAUUAUUAGUCCAAACUUUUCUUAAAACAGAAAUGAAGGAACUGAGGCAGUAAAAUAAACAGAACCUUGCCUUGGGCCUCCCAAAUCCUCCCAGUCCCACCUUUUCCUCGUGAGCCUCAGAUUCCUGUGCAGAGCUGCCUCACCAAUAUGUUGUGCCAUUUCCUAUUCCUGGAAAAGCCCUGGAGACUGCAAGGGUGGUGUCUCACUAUGUUGCCCAGACUGUUUUCUAACCCUGGCCUCAAGCAAAUUUCCCACCUCCUUCUCCCAAAAUGCUGGGAUUACAAGUGUGAGCCACUGUACCCAGCCUACUUAGGAGGACAUUUACUAUUCACUUACUGAUUUGCAUCAAAUUAUUGAUUGGUGGUGUUUCAGAAGGUGGAAGCUCUGCCAGCCCCACAUACAGCCUGAGUGAGACAUGCCAUUCAUUUGUUAAGCAGCUGAGGGUUUGUAACUGCUUGUGACUGCGGCAUGUCCAAGAAUGUUUUGUCUGAUGCACGACAAUGAGUGAAUAUAUAAUGAUUCAACAAGAGCCAUAGAGUUUUAAAAUGUGUUACAUUUUAUAGGAAAUACAGUUACUUAGACUUAUAAAAACAAGAUAUUCUCAGAAUAUUUUUCAUACUGAUUUACCUCUACUUGUCUUACUGGUGUCUAUGAGCUCAACUCAAGAUUUCCAAUCAAAUAACAACGAUAUGGAUUCACCUGGUGGCCAAGCAACAAUGUAAGAUAUUUAGAGUAGAGUCCUCAGAACAUUUUGCUGUGUUUGAAGAUGCUCAGGGUAAGUUAUAGUAUUCUGAGUUUUGUAUUUCACUACAACAAAUGCUUGUCUUUAUUUUCUUUCUUUUUUUUCAAGACGAGGACAGAAGAGAUUGAGAAUCAUGGUUAAAAGAGAAAAAACAAAACUCACUUGGGCCGUCUUUAAAUGUAUACAGAUAGGUGUUUGGUAGGCCCUAGCAUGCUUAAACUUAGGUUUCAGUAUGCAUGGGCCUUCCAGGAAACUGGCUGGGAAGACACACAAGAAAUUUAUAUCCUGUAAGGGACUGAGGCCAGAGAGAGAGGGGCUCAGCACAGCUGGUAUCAGAGCCAUGCUAUAACACUGGGUGCUGCCAAAGAAAGACACUAUGGAACAUGAUGCAAAUGCUGUUUCAUGAAGGCACACAACACCAUCUACAUGCAGGUACUAAAGCAAUGGAAACAGCACAGCACCCUCCUUCUCAGGAACCACUGCACUGAUCACUCCUUGUGCAUGACUAAGCAGCCUCACUCAGCAGGGCUUGGCAGGGGAGUCUGCCAGAUGUCGUAAAGCUCAGAAACAGAAAAAUGAUGAGAGAGGAUGGGAUGCCCAGGAACAUAGUCACUGCCCCUUGGGAGCAGGAGCACCUCGUGGAAGUGGCAGCUCUGCCCCGAGAAGUGGGCAAGUUGGAGCCUGAGUCUAGCAGGGUUUUGGGCCUUUUGCAGAGGUCUGGCCUCUACAUGCGGGUGUUGCUGAAAAGUUAGAGGAACUUUUCUGGAGUCGUGAGUGCAUGUUGGGGCAAAACUCAGUAGAAUUUGAGUGAUUAUUUCAAACACAAAUACAAUUCUACCCACAAAUAGGUGAAGCCAAGAGAAACUGGCCAUUUAUGGGUCUAUGCAACUACAUUUAACUUAUACACACAUAUAGAAUUAGUAUUGAUGUUAAGGGUAGAAAUGCUGACAGAGCGGUGACCAUGUGUAAAUUAGGAAAUAAGAAAUAUUAAGGCAUUGUUGUUUCAGAAAGUUCAAACUAUCCAUAUAAAUGAGUAAAAUCUGAUUAUCAGUUAACUAGCUGCUAUGCAAGAUGCAUAUAUUAUCAUAAAAGCAAAAUAAUAUUUCAAUGAUUUAUAAAAAUAAGAGAAACUAACACAUCUGGAUAAAGAAUCCAAUUAUGCCUAUCUAAAGCAACUAUCCCCAACAGAUCAAACUGUUUUGCAAUCUUAUCUCUCAUGACUAUGAUUGUAAUUUAUAUUAAAACAACUAUUGAGGCCAAAAAUAACUCAGAGCUAAAUUGUUCAAAUAGCUAUGUUAAAAGGCAUCUCACUUUUGUCAUUUCAGUACAAAUGGGAUUCUCAUUGGGAACAUAGAAAGUUAGUUUGCUAGGAUGACUAUUGAAACCUUAAGGUGAAAAAGCUUGCUCUUACUGAGAAAAUCCCAUCAUGAGUUGUGGGAUUCAAUUCAAACGAGACACAAAGGAUAAAGAAACACUAAGAAAAUAUGCAUAAAAAAGACAUAUAUUAAAAUGAAAAUCUGUUGAGUCAUAACUGUAACACAUCUUUAGAGGUGGCAGCUUUACAAUCAAAUAAAUAAUAUUUUGACACUUUCCAUAACAUUAUGUUUAAUCUCCUUUCAAUUACAUCCAUCUGACCGUCUUUCCAGGUACUUUGAAUCACAAUUCACGUGUCAGAACUUUAUUUUGUUCUAAAGAAUGAAUUUCAAGAAAAAAAAUCCUUAUGUUUCAUUCGUAUAUCAUGAAAUGGGCAUUCAACACUUUUCUUGAUUUGUAUGGUUAGCUGAAAUGGAUAAAUCAGACACAUAUGAUACUGGUCCAAUUAAAGUGAAUGUGCACAAACUACCUUUUAAAGUUUUGGGUAGUCAUUAUAAAUUGAUCUGGAUGUUAAAAUUCACUCAAAAAUUUCAAAGAAUUUCUUGUGAAUCAAAAAUAUCUUGAAAGUCAAAAGAUUAGGAGAAAUACAUUUACUGUGAUUUAAAAGAACACUCGAUCCAUUUUUAAAAUAUUUAGUAAUAUAUAAUUUAUUAUUUCACUCAUCUGUCUCAGUAUAAGGAAUUUGGUGACAUUUCUAUUUAUGCUUUUAGAGGAAACAUCUGAUUCUAAGGUUCAAAGCGUGAGACUGUAAGGCUUUUACAAACACAGAAAUUAAUGAGGAAGGUCACCAUGCAGUCUAUAACUAUCACAGACAUUUUUUAAUGCAACAAUUUACUGGAUUAGCUAUCAGAAAGUCAAGGAGGUGAUUCACUACCAUACAUGAAAAUAAAGUAUAAAAUACUGGUUUUGACAGUGCAACUACACUUUUAUAGCUGUUUUGUCAGUUUCUCACAAAUUUCCUCAAAUGGACAUAUCAUUACUUGAAUAGUAAUCAGCAAUUUAUUUUCAGGGGUUUUUUUGCAAUAAAAAGAAAUGCCUUCACUCAUAAAACAUAAUGAAGAGAAAGGCACUUUAUUUAAGAAUAGAGGAAUGCAUUAUGCCUCUUGAAUAUAUAGUACAUUAUUUAUAAUCUACUGCUGCAGUUACUGUUGUAUAUCCU